rnacentral:lncRNA from 1 species
UGGGAUCCAAGUGGAGUUGUGUACUCCUUCGCCUUGCAUAGAUGGAGAAGGAUUUGACAUAGCAUCCUCUUGAUACUUGUGCUACGAGUACCAUGUACAUUUUGGUAGGGAUUGAGCUCUCCUUCCACCUAACAUAGUGAGGAAAGACGUAUAUUUUUCAUUGUUUUUUUGGGGAAUAAUCUAGAAAUCUCCAAGGGCAAGUGAUGUAUUGUUCGAAAUUCUGACAGAUAAUGGGCUCCCUGCCGUCCUUAUCCGCGUAAAUACCAGUUUUUUUCUGUAGCAUUUCAAACCUGUAACGUGCACUUAAUCCACACGUCAUGCGUUGCACUCUUACUUCUAGAACGAAGUCCAGCAGGUUUAUAUUUGUCAUUGUUAUAUUCCUACUAACUGCACCACUCAAAAUGGACGCAGGCAGGAAUUUAUAUUAUUUGUUCAAAGAAGAGGAGUUUUAUCCUCUCAAGGCAUGAAUAUUAUUAGCUCUGAUCCUUGAAUUAUAGAUAAAUUAUUUCUCUUCUUGUGGAGUUAGCCCGCCCGACUGGUCUGAUGAUGUGUUGCUGUUCUCUAUUUUAUCCGUAUGGAGAAGUUAUUUCUUUUAGUCUGAAAGUAUGAUUACCCUUCCUCCGGCAUUAGAAGGAAUUCUGAUCUAAGGAGUGAAGUUUUGUUCCUUUCACUUUUAUUUUGUUUAACUAUGGCAGGUUGUUAUGUUUGAUUUCUGUCCAUGUUUUAGUUAUUUGGGGGACAUACCAGGAUACUGAUGUUGUGUCAUUAACAUUUUGGUAUUAGGGCUUGCAUUUGGGGCCAAUGAUUGAAGGGCUGAGUCGGGAAACAAAGCGAGUAGAGAAGAGGUUUCUGUGGUAUCUGGGUGCCAAUAGUCUCUUAUGUUAGUAUUGAGCUUUUAUGAUAGAGAUUCUGAAGUUACGUUGACAAGCAAUUGUGCUUCAGUUUUUCAAGUUUGUCAGUAGAGUUGCAGGAAAGUAGUUACUGUAAAGGAUUUGUAAAUAGCAGACCCUCAUGAUAUUUGGAGGUAACUGCAUUAUCACGGUAAAAAGGGUAAUAUAAUGCUUAAUAUUGUUAUUUUUAAAAUUUUGGUUUGCUCUUAUUUCUUUUGGCCAAUGCAAUUUAGAAGGCAGUGGAAUGAAUUGCUUUUAGCUGAAUUGUCAGGAAUUAUCAUCCUUACCUGUUGCAGUGAAUUGUGUCUUCGUAAUUUUUAGCAGUGUGAGUGAUAUAGCUCGUCUUCGUUUUUUCCCUUCUUAGUCUUGCUAUUUGGGUAUGAGACACAUGUUGGUAUGGGUUUUUGUGGCAUGCCAAUUUUGGGUUGUGUUUUAGUUGCUGCUGUAUUUAAAAGGUUUCAAAUUAAGCAAUCAAGGGGUGUGGUCUAGUAGUCAAUUAGGUGGGAUGAAAAGUAUAGGUUAGUUUCAGUUCCCAGCUCCGGUUGAGACAAAAGAUUUUGACAAUUUUUUCCCUAUUCGCCUGAAUUUUGAUGGGCAGAGUAAUUCGUUGGCUAUGUUAGUAGGAGACAGCAAGUAUUCAAUAGAAUAAUCAAGAGAUUAGCAUCAACUCAUAUUUUCUUAAACUGGCUUUAUUGGCAUACGAGCUAUUGAGGAUUAUCCAUUUGGGUAAUGUAUUUUCGUAGCAAAUUUGUGUAAGCAGGGUUUUCUUGCAUCAACCUGAAUUUUUUUACUAUGAGCGAUGGGAAGCUAAAACUAAAGACUAAAUAAGAUAAUGGGGAUGGGGUUGUGUCAGUGUCAGUGUCAUCUCAUCUUCAAAAGCUGCUAAGCUAUCGGUGAUAACCCUUAUCUUGCAGAGGAACUUAUUCCGUUGCUUUUGGCGGAGAUACAGAAAUCCAAACCUGAUUUCAUUCCUUUUAACUUUGCAAUGCCCAUGGAAAAUUACCCACCAUCCAGAAAAAGUGUUAGCAAUCUUAUUCCUUAAGACUACUUCAAUAAUUGCAAUUAUUGAGGAUAGAUUUAAUGAUAGAAUGAUAAUGAUCUCUGAAUGACCAUUCUCACGUCAUGUUCUGGAUUUUGGUAUUACAAAUGAGUCACAAUCUUUGGUUGAAAGAGCUUAAGGGCCCAAGAAUGUGUUGAUUAAGUGGGAAAAGAUCUGCAUGUGAUAUAUAAACACCAACUUUAGUUCUGUAGGGAGAAUUAAUUCAUCCUACCCUCGAGCUAUUUGGCAAAAGGUGAAAAGGGAAGCGUAGGACCUUUAUGAUAUCAUAUGUGCAUAUAUAAUGUGAUUGACAGUACUAAGUACGGGAGUGAUGGCUUAUACUUUUAUUAUUACCAUAGUAAACGACAAAACUCUCUUCAUUCUCUUACCAUCUUUUACGCGAACCAAACGUCGGAUAUUUCAGCUUUAAUAAUGUCAAAGGUGACUAAAAUUUUCAGCCCGGUAUGAGCUUUUCCAGUAUGGACCUUUGUAUAUAUCCGGAGAAUAUAUUAUAGUACGUUAUACAUAAAAAAGAAAAUGAAACGAUUGAUAGCGGCCUUCAUUCAAGUGUGCCAAAUUGGCUCAACAGUAAUUUUUUUUUAGAGCAGUUAUGAUAGUAGUGUAUGGGUCAAAAUCAGAUCUGAAAAAUUUGACAUGCGGAGACAAUUAGCCGAGGUCAAGCAGUGAUCAAUAAGGUCGAGGUCGGACAGUGAUCUAUAAGGCCGAGGUCGAGCAGUGAUCAAUAAGGCCGAGGUCGAGCAGUGAAGAUAGAUGUAACAACUAGUUUGCUUUGGAAUCCUCAAAGGGAAUAUUCUACUGGAUAUUCCCUCUAAUUGUACUUUUUUAGAGUUUUCUAGUAUACCCUUUAUAAAUAGGAAGAAAGGAUUUCCCAAGGGGGCAAACUCUUUCUUUAGAAAAUAGAUAAACACAUCUCUCUAAAGAGAUUAGAGGAUCUGUGAUCUCAUACCCUUCAUCAGAUCCAAAAAGGGUCCUAAGGUUCUUGUAUUUGUCUAUCAUUCAUCUUUAUCAAAUGAAAGAGGAUCCGCUUCACUCAAGAUUGGGUGAAUCUUUUCCUUCAUUUACAUUUUAUUGCCAUUUAAUGUUACUUAAUGCACCUUUCUUCACGCUAUUGAAUCUGGCCAUAAUUACUGCCAGCAUUUAUACUCAGCUAUGUUUUCUAUUCAUAUUAUUCAUCACAGAUCUAGAAUUAAUCAUCCUUAACUAGGAUUUACCCUCUAUCUUCUUAUUUAAUUAGUUUAACAAAAAAGAUCUCAUACUUUUUUGGUCAAACAAUUUGGUACUGUCUGUGGGGACUUUAUAGUUAAAAUUCUAGUUUUCUCUAGAUUUCUAAAAAAUAUGAGGAUAAGAUAUUCAAUUCAGAUGAGUGAUAUCUUCGGCAUAAUCAUUCAUAUUUUUCAGUUCUCCUUCCUUUAAUCCAUGUUUGUUACUGUAAAUGGAGAGAAUGGAAACGUACUCAUAUUACAGUAUUCAAAUACUAGCACGACUUCUUAUAACCAACCAUUUCUUUCAAGUAUAAUAUUACAUUAUUAAAUAUUAUUCUCUAUAAACGAGAUAAAGCAAGAAUCUGCUCCUGAUUUUGAUAGUAAUAUCUCGCCUUUUCCCUGUUGACUUGACUUGUCUUUUUGCUUAUUUGAUUUGACUUUUCUGAAAUAAUAAAAGUUCUUAUAGCCCGUUUGGCCAAGCUGCAAAAAUCAGCUUAUUUUGAGAAGUGCUUUUUUCAAAAAUGUUUUUCUCAAAAGUACUUUUGGUAAGAAGUAGUUUGUGUUUUGGCUAAUUAGUUUGAAAAGCACUUUUGAGCAACAAUUAGUGUUUGGUCAAGUUUUAAAAAACUGCUUCUAAGUGUAUUUUUCUCAAAAGUGCUUUUGGAAAGAAGCUACUUAUUUCUGCUUCUCCAAAACUGUUUCUGCUUCUCCUCAAAAAUACUUUUUUUUUCCUUCCAAAAGCUUGGCCAAACACCUCAAUUUUCGGCCAAAAGUGCUUUUGACAAAAAAAAAAACACUUCUCGCCAAAAAGAAGCUUGGCCAAACAGGCUAUUAGUUGAGGUGCCUGUCUACCUCUACAAAGUUAAGGUGUCUAACAGACACUCCGCGCCAAGUUUGAAGGGCCAUUAUAUUUGGCCUUGAGUUUACUAAGCACAUGAAUAGUACACAAAUGAGUUUUAUAUAGAUUGCUAAUAUAUCAAGUUCUCUUAUGGCUCAUUUAGAGUUGCAUACAAGACCAACCAACCAAACAGUGACACUUUACUCAGGUAAAAGUUUAUUAAAAAAGCACCAAGAUUGGAGGCUUUCUCAUCGGAUUGUGUUGCGUUUGGUCCUGCGGCCACUCUACAACUUCGAAACAAUUAAACAUGGAUAUAUUUGAGAGUGUUCGUUGUCAAUCAAGUCACAGGGACUUUCCAAAUCAAGGAACAAAUACUGCAAGAAUACCACGUGGAGAUCUGCAAGCUGUUACCCGAAUUCGACGAAUGCCAGCUCGACCAAAUCUCUUGAGCAUAGAAUAUCGAAGCAGACAACCUUGCCAAAUUGGUAGCGACCACUAAAAGCGUAACCAGAGAAGGGAACGUGGUCACUCCCCUCCAUUCGUCGACCGAUUAAAUUCGUUACUGAUUUCAUUUGGUUUUAAUUGACUGUUCUUCUAAGUGGAAUAGAAUCAGGAGCAUUCUCCCAGACUGGGACUGGGACUGGACUGCCAACAAGAAAAACAUGUAAAUCUCUCCGAUAUAUGUAGGCAAAGCAUGAGUGCAUGAAGCUCACCCGCAUUUUCGCCAAAGCGACGCCGCAUCAAUUAAAGAGGUUAUAUUCAACCUCGCCCGAAUCAACAUUCGGCCUCCUCGCCCGAAUUCACAUUCUGUCUCUGCGCCCGAAUUCACAUUCGGUCUCCGCGCCCGAAUUAAUAUUCGGCCUCCUCGCCCGAAUCAACAUUCGGCCUCCUUGCCCGAAUCAACAUUCGGCCUCCUCGCCCGAAUCAACAUUCGGCCUCCUCGCCCGAAUUAACUAAUAUUCUAUAUCGCUCGAAUUAACUCUCAUUCGAUCUCACUCGAAUUAACAUUCGGCCUCCUCGCCCGAACUAACAUUCGACUUUACUCGAAUUCAACUCUCAUUCGACCUAGCUCAAACUUGAUUGACACCUAGACCUCGUUCGAGUCGAAUAGGGCAACGUUUGACUUCGCUCGUACCAAUCAAAGACACUCGAUGACGUUCGAAUUAACACCUACCAACGAUUCCUUUGAAACCAUCAAUCGAGGAAAAUGUUCAAGAAAAGAAAAAUAGAAUCAGGAAUGAGCAGCAAAAGUAGCAUUCCAAAUCAAAAGAAGUAUCAGAAGAAGCAUGUUACAAGGGCCGAAUCGCCCGUCCAGAUUUGAGGACGCGAAUGACCUCCUCCGAUGCCGCCGUCCUUGCCAAAGCCACCAUCUCGGCCUCGUCGUCCUUCUCCAACUCUACCGUCUUCUCGAUUAACUCAUCACUCGAGUCAUUGGCCCUGAUCGAACUUUGCUCAAAUUCAGCCCGCGGGGAUACCACUUUGACUCGAAGAUCGGCACCCUCAGUUGCGAUCCACACUAGUCGACCUCCCCAUCCGAAUUUCUCGAACUACGAUUAAUGAAGUCCGCUCACGGAGCACGACUAAAAGACGACCUCGAUAAGCGAAGGGACUAACUGUAUGGGUCAAAAUCAGAUAAGAGAAAUUCGACAUGCGGAGACAACUGGCCGAGGUCGAGCAGUGAUCAAUAAGGUCGAGGUCGGGCAGUGAUCUAUAAGGCCGAGGUCGAGCAGUGAUCUAUAAGGCCGAGGUCGAGCAGUGAUCUAUAAGGCCGAGGUCGGGCAGUGAUCUAUAAGGCCGAGGUCGGGUAGUGAUCAAUAAGGCCGAGGUCGAGUAGUGAUCAAUAAGGUCGAGGUCAAGCAGUAAAGAUAUAUGUAACAGCUAGUUUGCUUUGGAAUCCUCAAAGGGAAUAUUCUACUGGAUAUUCCCUCUAAUUGUACUUUUUAGGGUUUCUAGGGAUACCCCUUAUAAAUAGGAAGAGAGGACUUCCCAAGGGGGGUAGACUCUCUCUUUAGAAAAUAAAUAAACACAUCUCUAUAAAGGGAUUAGAGGAUCUGUGAUCUCAUAUCCUCCAUCAGAUCCAAAGAGGGUUCUAAGGUUCUUGUAUUUGUCUAUCAUUCAUCUUUAUCGAAUGAAAGAGGAUCCGCCUCACUCAAGAUUGGGUGAAUCUUUUCCUUUAUUUACAUUUUAUUGCCAUUUAAUACUCAGUUAUGUUUUUCUAUUCAUAUUAUUUAUCUCAAAUCUAGAAUUAAUUAUCCUUAACUAGGAUUUACCCUCUAUCUUCUUCUUUUUUGGUCAAACAAGUAGUCCUUUAGCACAGAAAAGGGGUUGCUGUCUUUAGAUUGAUUUUUCCGAGUGUUGAUAUCACAGUGACAUAUAUAUGCGUAUUUUAGGUAAAAAGAAACAAUAUUACUUUGACCAUAACAAUAUCUGUCGUCUUUAACAUUUAAAUAAUACCAAAUUAGUUUUGUUACUAUCUUUCUCUAACAUGAAAAAUACUACUAGUAACAAUCUUGAGUAUUCUAACAUAUCUUUAACAAAACAAUUCCGCAGACAAACAUCAACAUUACCUUAUGAAACUUCCCUUUGGUUUUGUUAGCACAGUAGUUGCACCAUUCCUUUUUCUUUCUUUCUUUCUUUCUUUUUCAAAUCUAU